rnacentral:rRNA from 1 species
CUGCUAGCAACGGGGCGGCGAGCGUGUUCGAUAAGUCACAACGACUCUCGGCAACGGAUAUCUCGGCUCUCGCAUCGAUGAAGAACGUAGCGAAAUGCGAUACGUGGUGUGAAUUGCAGGAUCCCGUGAACCAUCGAGUUUUUGAACGCAAGUUGCGCCCGAAGCCACUAGGCCGAGGGCACGCCUGCCUGGGCGUCACGCA